rnacentral:pre_miRNA from 3 species
AUGUAGGGCAAUCUGUCUAAGUAGGGAUGAAUGACUCUUAAAAAAUCCUGGAGAGUUUUCCCUUGAAGCCAAGCAUGGGGU